rnacentral:rRNA from 1 species
GACGAACGCUGGCGGCGUGCUUAACACAUGCAAGUCGAACGGAAAGACCCUGCUUUUGUGGGGUGCUCGAGUGGCGAACGGGUGAGUAACACGUGAGUAACCUGCCCUUGACUUUGGGAUAACUUCAGGAAACUGGGGCUAAUACCGGAUAGGAGCUCCUGCUGCAUGGUGGGGGUUGGAAAGUUUCGGCGGUUGGGGAUGGACUCGCGGCUUAUCAGCUUGUUGGUGGGGUAGUGGCUUACCAAGGCUUUGACGGGUAGCCGGCCUGAGAGGGUGACCGACCACAUUGGGACUGGGAUACGGCCCAGACUCCUACGGGAGGCAGCAGGGGGGAAUAUUGCACAAUGGGCGGAAGCCUGAUGCAGCAACGCCGCGUGCGGGAUGACGGCCUUCGGGUUGUAAACCGCUUUCGCCUGUGACGAAGCGUGAGUGACGGUAAUGGGUAAAGAAGCACCGGCUAACUACGUG